rnacentral:SRP_RNA from 1 species
GCCAGGCGUGGUGGCGCACACCUGUAGUCCCAGCUACUCAGGAGGCUGGGAUGGGAGGAUCACUUGAGCCCAGGAGGUCAAGGCUGCAGUGAGCUGAGAUCGCAUCACUGCACUCUGGCCUGAGUGACAAAGUGAAAACCUGUCUCAA